rnacentral:rRNA from 1 species
UACGUAGGGUGCGAGCGUUGCCCGGAUUUAUUGGGCGUAAAGGGCGCGUAGGCGGCCACGCACGUCCGUUGUGAAAUCGCCCGGCUCAACUGGGCGGGGUCGGCGGAUACGGCGUGGCUGGAGCAAGCUAGGGGGCAAUGGAAUUCCCGGUGUAGUGGUGGAAUGCGUAGAUAUCGGGAGGAACACCAGUGGCGAAGGCGGUUGCCUGGAGCUUUGCUGACGCUGAGGCGCGAAAGCUUGGGGAGCGAUCCGG